GCCCUGGUAUCAAAAUGGUUAAAUGUUUGGCUGCUAACCAAAAUGUUGGUGGUUCAAACCCACCCAGCGGCU
rnacentral:tRNA from 1 species